UAGGGAAUCUUCGGCAAUGGACGAAAGUCUGACCGAGCAACGCCGCGUGAGUGAAGAAGGUUUUCGGAUCGUAAAACUCUGUUGUUAGAGAAGUACAAGGGUGAGAGUAACUGUUCACCCCUUGACGGUAUCUAACCAGAAAGCCACGGCUAACUACGUGCUAG
rnacentral:rRNA from 1 species